AACGAACGCUGGCGGCGUGCCUAACACAUGCAAGUCGAACGGGGUGAGGGGCUUGCUCCUCAUCUAGUGGCGCACGGGUGAGUAACGCGUGGAUAAUCUGCCUGAUACUCUGGGAUAACAUCUCGAAAGGGGUGCUAAUACCGGAUAAGCCCACGGGCUCUUCGGAGCUUGCGGGAAAAGGAGGGGACCUUCGGGCCUUCCGAUAUCAGAUGAGUCCGCGUCCCAUUAGCUAGUUGGUAGGGUAAAGGCCUACCAAGGCGACGAUGGGUAGCUGGUCUGAGAGGAUGAUCAGCCACACUGGAACUGAGACACGGUCCAGACUCCUACGGGAGGCAGCAGUGGGGAAUUUUGCGCAAUGGGGGAAACCCUGACGCAGCAACGCCCCGUGAGUGAUGAAGGCCCUUGGGUCGUAAAGCUCUGUCAGAGGGAAAGAAAUGUGGGCGGCUAAUAUCCGUACCACUUGACGGUACCCUCAAAGGAAGCACCGGCUAACUCCGUGCCAGCAGCCGCCGCGGUAA
rnacentral:rRNA from 1 species